CGCACAUUGCGCCCUUUGGUAUUCCGAGGGGCAUGCCCGUUCGAGCGUCAUUACACCAAUCAAGCCCGGCUUGGUAUUGGGUCCUGGGGGCGACCCGGACCUCAAAAUCGCCGGCUGGAAAUCUUCAAACCUAGCGUCGUGGCACAUGAAUUCGCUAGCGGGAGGGACGUUCCACGCCGCAAAGCUCAUCGAAGGUUGACCUCGGAUCGGGUAGGGAUACCCGCUGAACUUAA
rnacentral:misc_RNA from 1 species